UUUUUUACGAGCAGAAAGCAGAAGAUUUGUUUCCACUGAUGAAGUUGGUGCCAGGAGGUCUGGUUCAUUUUUUGUCCAGAGUAACGAGAGAAAUCAACGAGGAGAUAUUGCAUUGACAUGUGCACAUGACUUGUACACGUCUGUAAAUAAAUAAUACUCCAGUGCAGUAUUGUUAUUAUGUAUUAAAUCCAAUUUUUAUAAAUAAACUGACGCGUCAAAAUUCA
rnacentral:misc_RNA from 1 species